UUGCACGCUGGCGGCAGGCCUCACCCCUGCCAGUCGAGCGGAUGAAGGGAGCUUGCUCCUGGAUUCAGCGGCGGACGGGUGAGUAAUGCCUAGGAAUCUGCCUGGUAGUGGGGGAUAACGUCCGGAAACGGGCGCUAAUACCGCAUACGUCCUGAGGGAGAAAGUGGGGGAUCUUCGGACCUCACGCUAUCAGAUGAGCCUAGGUCGGAUUAGCUAGUUGGUGGGGUAAAGGCCUACCAAGGCGACGAUCCGUAACUGGUCUGAGGGGAUGAUCAGUCACACUGGAACUGAGACACGGUCCAGACUCCUACGGGAGGCAGCAGUGGGGAAUAUUGGACAAUGGGCGAAAGCCUGAUCCAGCCAUGCCGCGUGUGUGAAGAAGGUCUUCGGAUUGUAAAGCACUUUAAGUUGGGAGGAAGGGCAGUAAGUUAAUACCUUGCUGUUUUGACGUUACCAACAGAAUAAGCACCGGCUAACUUCGUG
rnacentral:rRNA from 1 species